UGCAAGUCGAACGAACUUCCGUUAAUUGAUUAUGACGUACUUGUACUGAUUGAGAUUUUAACACGAAGUGAGUGGCGAACGGGUGAGUAACACGUGGGUAACCUGCCCAGAAGUAGGGGAUAACACCUGGAAACAGAUGCUAAUACCGUAUAACAGAGAAAACCGCAUGGUUUUCUUUUAAAAGAUGGCUCUGCUAUCACUUCUGGAUGGACCCGCGGCGUAUUAGCUAGUUGGUGAGGUAAAGGCUCACCAAGGCAGUGAUACGUAGCCGACCUGAGAGGGUAAUCGGCCACAUUGGGACUGAGACACGGCCCAGACUCCUACGGGAGGCAGCAGUAGGGAAUCUUCCACAAUGGACGCAAGUCUGAUGGAGCAACGCCGCGUGAGUGAAGAAGGGUUUCGGCUCGUAAAGCUCUGUUGUUAAAGAAGAACGUGGGUAAGAGUAACUGUUUACCCAGUGACGGUAUUUAACCAGAAAGCCACGGCUAACUACGUGCCAGCAGCCGCGGUAAUACGUAGGUGGCAAGCGUUAUCCGGAUUUAUUGGGCGUAAAGCGAGCGCAGGCGGUCUUUUAAGUCUAAUGUGAAAGCCUUCGGCUCAACCGAAGAAGUGCAUUGGAAACUGGGAGACUUGAGUGCAGAAGAGGACAGUGGAACUCCAUGUGUAGCGGUGAAAUGCGUAGAUAUAUGGAAGAACACCAGUGGCGAAGGCGGCUGUCUGGUCUGCAACUGACGCUGAGGCUCGAAAGCAUGGGUAGCGAACAGGAUUAGAUACCCUGGUAGUCCAUGCCGUAAACGAUGAUUACUAAGUGUUGGAGGGUUUCCGCCCUUCAGUGCUGCAGCUAACGCAUUAAGUAAUCCGCCUGGGGAGUACGACCGCAAGGUUGAAACUCAAAAGAAUUGACGGGGGCCCGCACAAGCGGUGGAGCAUGUGGUUUAAUUCGAAGCUACGCGAAGAACCUUACCAGGUCUUGACAUCUUCUGACAGUCUAAGAGAUUAGAGGUUCCCUUCGGGGACAGAAUGACAGGUGGUGCAUGGUUGUCGUCAGCUCGUGUCGUGAGAUGUUGGGUUAAGUUCUCGCACGAGCGCACCUUAUACUAGCGCAGCAUAGUGGCACCUCUAGUGAAGACUUGCGGUGACUACCGGAGAGAGGUGGGGACGACGUCAAAUCAUCAUGCCCCUUAUGACCUGGGCUACACACGUGCUACAAUGGAUGGUACAACGAGUCGCGAAACCGCGAGGUUAAGCUAAUCUCUUAAAACCAUUCUCAGUUCGGACUGUAGGCUGCAACUCGCCUACACGAAGUCGGAAUCGCUAGUAAUCGCGGAUCAGCAUGCCGCGGUGAAUACGUUCCCGGGCCUUGUACACACCGCCCGUCACACCAUGAGAGUUUGUAACACCCAAAGCCGGUGGGGUAACCUUUUUAGGA
rnacentral:rRNA from 1 species